CCUACGGGCGGCUGCAGUGGGGAAUCUUGCGCAAUGGCCGAAAGGCUGACGCAGCGACGCCGCGUGCGGGAUGACGCUUUUCGGAGUGUAAACCGCUGUCAGGAGGGAAGAAGGUCCUUGGGGGGCAAUGCCCAGGGGAUGACGGUACCUCCAGAGGAAGCACCGGCUAACUCCGUGCCAGCAGCCGCGGUAAUACGGAGGGUGCGAGCGUUGUUCGGAAUUAUUGGGCGUAAAGCGCACGUAGGCGGCUUUGUAAGUCUCACUGUGAAAGCCCGGGGCUCAACCCCGGGAGGCCAGGGGAUACUGCGAGGCUGGAGACAGGCAGAGGCUGGUGGAAUUCCGGGUGUAGCGGUGGAAUGCGUAGAGAUCCGGAGGAACAUCUGAGGCGAAGGCGGCCAGCUGGGCCUGAUCUGACGCUGAGGUGCGAAAGCGUGGGGAGCGAACAGGAUUAGAUACCCCGGUAGUC
rnacentral:rRNA from 1 species